CGAUGAUGUGGGUUGCUUCCAUGGAUCCAUAAGACAACAAACAAGAUUAGAGAACUCACUGAAUUGGUUUUGGUCAGAUCCUUCGAUGCUUAAAUCAAAGAGAAUUUUUAUUACGCUCUAAACUGAGCACGUGAUAGACGCCGCAUACUUGCAAGACAAGCCCUACAAGCAUGCAAGGCUAUAGAUCACAUCAUAAAAAUUUC
rnacentral:lncRNA from 1 species